CGGCGAGUGAAGCGGCAACAGCUCAAAUUUGAAAUCUGGCCCUUGGGUCCGAGUUGUAAUUUGUAGAGGAUGCUUUUGGUACGGCGCCUUCCGAGUUCCCUGGAACGGGACGCCAUAGAGGGUGAGAGCCCCGUACGGUUGGAUGCCUAGCCUCUGUAAAGCUCUUUCGACGAGUCGAGUAGUUUGGGAAUGCUGCUCUAAAUGGGAGGUAAAUUUCUUCUAAAGCUAAAUACCGGCCAGAGACCGAUAGCGCACAAGUAGAGUGAUCGAAAGAUGAAAAGCACUUUGAAAAGAGGGUUAAAUAGCACGUGAAAUUGUUGAAAGGGAAGCGCUUAUGACCAGACUUUUACCUGGCGGAUCAUCCGGCGUUCUCGCCGGUGCACUUCGCUAGGUUGAGGCCAGCAUCGAUUUUUGUAGGGGGAUAAAGACUUCGGGAAAGUAGCUCUCUUCGGGGAGUGUUAUAGCCCGCUGUGUAAUACCCUUACGGGGAUCGAGGUUCGCGCAAGGAUGCUGGCAUAAUGGUCAUCAGUGACCCGUCUUGAAACACGGACCAAGGAGUCGAACAUUUAUGCGAGUGUUUGGGUGUUAAACCCUCACGCGUAAUGAAAGUGAACGGAGGUGAGAGCCCUUAAGGGUGCAUCAUCGACCGAUCCUGAAGUCUUCGGAUGGAUUUGAGUAAGAGCAUAACUGUUCGGACCCGAAAGAUGGUGAACUAUGCGUGGAUAGGGUGAAGCCAGAGGAAACUCUGGUGGAGGCUCGCAGCGGUUCUGACGUGCAAAUCGAUCGUCAAAUCUGCGCAUGGGGGCGAAAG
rnacentral:rRNA from 1 species